rnacentral:rRNA from 1 species
AUUGAACGCUGGUGGCAUGCCUAACACAUGCAAGUCGAGCGGAUGAAGGGAGCUUGCUCCUGGAUUCAGCGGCGGACGGGUGAGUAAUGCCUAGGAAUCUGCCUUGUAGUGGGGGAUAACGUCCGGAAACGGGCGCUAAUACCGCAUACGUCCUGAGGGAGAAAGUGGGGGAUCUUCGGACCUCACGCUAUCAGAUGAGCCUAGGUCGGAUUAGCUAGUUGGUGGGGUAAAGGCCUACCAAGGCGACGAUCCGUAACUGGUCUGAGAGGAUGAUCAGUCACACUGGAACUGAGACACGGUCCAGACUCCUACGGGAGGCAGCAGUGGGGAAUAUUGGACAAUGGGCGAAAGCCUGAUCCAGCCAUGCCGCGUGUGUGAAGAAGGUCUUCGGAUUGUAAAGCACUUUAAGUUGGGAGGAAGGGCAGUAAGUUAAUACCUUGCUGUUUUGACGUUACCAACAGAAUAAGCACCGGCUAACUUCGUG